rnacentral:lncRNA from 1 species
UAAUGAGGGUCACUUCCCUGGUACUGAGUCCAGGCCUGUGUGCCCUUUUCACUCUGUUUCUGUAGAGGGUAAGCAGCAGCAUGGUGAGGACCUUGACCUGGGACACUAGUACAUCAGGUGCCUGACCCUCAGUCAGAAGUUGCAGGAAGAAGCUGAAGUCCUGGAAUGUGGGUCACUUGCUUGGGACUCCUCUGAGUUGUCAUGAGGAUGCUGUGAUGGGCGGUUUGACCCAGUGAGUGCCCACUCUAAGCAAUCAUUUCCCAUUCCACUCAACAGCUGUUCCAGGCAGAUUCGGGAAUCAAUAGCGGCCUUUAUCCACCGAGUUCCCCUCAGUGCCAAAUCUGAUGCUGGGUACAGAGUCCCCAAGUCUCAAAAGAAGUGGGUCUGCCCCUGAAAGUCUCUGCGGGGGCAGGAGCAGGGGCUGACAUCCUAUACUGAGCAGAAAGGAGAAGACACACUGAACACUGGCAUUCACCUCCUUCUCUGAUGACUGCUGACACAAGGUGACCAACUGGCUCAGACUCUGGCCACCAUGCCUUUGGACUGUCCCCUCAGACUACAGAGUCAAAUAAAACCC